GGGGAUAUAACUCAGUUGGUAGAGUAUCACAAUGGCAUUGUGAGAGUCAGCGGUUCGAGUCCGCUUAUCUCCA
rnacentral:tRNA from 1 species